AGGGACUUAAGUUAAUUAAAAACUAAUAGCCUUCAAAGCUCUAAUUGGAUAAAACCAGCCCCUA
rnacentral:tRNA from 1 species